UACGAAGGGGGCUAGCGUUGCUCGGAAUCACUGGGCGUAAAGGGUGCGUAGGCGGCUCUUUAAGUCAGGGGUGAAAUCCUGGAGCUCAACUCCAGAACUGCCUUUGAUACUGUUAGUCUUGAGUAUGGGAGAGGUGAGUGGAACUGCGAGUGUAGAGGUGAAAUGCGUAGAUAUCGAGAGGAACACCUGCGGCGAAGGCGGGUUGCUGGGCUGAUACUGACGCUGAGGCGCGAAAGCCAGGGGAGCGAACGGG
rnacentral:rRNA from 1 species